CCUAGCCAAUACCAAUCCCAAUUUCUGAAUGGAAGGGAACAUUUCCUGUAGUGAUGGAAUUCGGAGAUACAUGGGGAGUUGUGCGGUACCACAUAAAUCUAAAAAAAUUUGUACAUAGAUAAGUUUUGUUAACACAAUUAAAGUCGGGCUAUUUUUGUGUUGUAGUCAGCCAACAGAAAAUAAUGAUAAUCAGGCUGCACAGGUAACUUGUUCUGUAAUAUCACAAGCCACAACGAUUGCUCCACAUGUCCUGAUGUUAUACGCACAAUAGUUCUCGUAACGUGAUGAUGACCCAUGUGUGACCACCACAAGCUUCCACUUUGUUGGAAGUCCCGGGAUGGAGCCGUAGGACCUGCAGGUUUAAGUUCUGCGAUUUUAAGUUCUGUGAUUGGAACGUUGUCCAUAUCCAUUGGAGCCAGCGUUUGUACGAGUUCGUUAAAAUGGAUAGCAAACAAGCUCAAGCAAAAAUUCUUUAAGAAA